rnacentral:rRNA from 1 species
UACGUAAGGGGCAAGCGUUGUCCGGAUUUACUGGGCGUAAAGAGCGUGUAGGCGGCCAAGCAGGUCCGUUGUGAAAACUGGAGGCUUAACCUCCAGACGUCGACGGAAACCGCGUGGCUAGAGUCCGGAAGAGGAGAGUGGAAUUCCUGGUGUAGCGGUGAAAUGCGCAGAUAUCAGGAAGAACACCAAUGGCGAAGGCAGCUCUCUGGGACGGUACUGACGCUGAGACGCGAAAGCGUGGGGAGCGAACAGG